UGGGGAAUCUUGCACAAUGGGGGCAACCCUGAUGCAGCGACGCCGCGUGAGCGAUGAAGCCCUUCGGGGCGUAAAGCCCUUUCGACCGGAACGAUAAUGACGGUACCGGGAGAAGAAGCUGCGGCUAACUACGUGCCAGCAGCCGCGGUAAUACGUAGGCAGCAAGCGUUACUCGGAAUUACUGGGCGUAAAGCGUGCGUAGGCGGUUCGUUAAGUCCGUUGUGAAAGCCCUGGGCUCAACCUGGGAAUUGCAGUGGAUACUGGCGAGCUAGAGUACGGUAGAGGAUGGUGGAAUUCCCGGUGUAGCGGUGAAAUGCGUAGAGAUCGGGAGGAACACCCGUGGCGAAGGCGGCCAUCUGGACCAGUACUGACGCUGAGGCACGAAAGCGUGGGGAGCAAACA
rnacentral:rRNA from 1 species